GACGUAGGGCGCGAGCGUUGUCCGGAUUUAUUGGGCGUAAAGAGCUCGUAGGCGGCUUGUCGCGUCGACUGUGAAAACCCGUGGCUCAACCAUGUGGUCUGCAGUCGAUACGGGCAGGCUAGAAUUCGGUAGGGGAGACUGGAAUUCCUGGUGUAGCGGUGAAAUGCGCAGAUAUCAGGAGGAACACCGGUGGCGAAGGCGGGGCUCUGGGCCGAUAUUGACGCUGAGGAGCGAAAGCGUGGGGAGCGAACAGG
rnacentral:rRNA from 1 species